CCUACGGGAGGCAGCAGUGAGGAAUAUUGGUCAAUGGCCGCAAGCCUGACCCAGCCAUGCCGCGUGAAGGUAAGUGCCCUUUGGGCUGUAAACUUCUUUUGUGCGGGAGCAGUAAUAGUCACGUGUGGCCAGACGAGAGUACGCUAAGUAGGAGCCCGCGCUAACUACGUUCCGGCGGCCGCGGUAAUACGUAGGGGGCAAGCGUUAUCCGGAUUUUGUGGGUGUAAGGGGGGGGCAGACGGGGAUGCAAGCCAGGGGUGAAAGCCCGGGGCCCAACCGCAGGACUGCUUUUGGAACUGGGUGGCUGGAGUGCAGGAGGGGCAGGCGGAAUUCCUGGUGUAGCGGUGAAAUGCGUAGAUAUGAGGAGGAACACCGGUGGCGAAGGCGGACUGCUGGACUGCAACUGACGUUGAGGCGCGAAAGCGUGGGGAGCAAACAGGAUUAGAUACCCCAGUAGUC
rnacentral:rRNA from 1 species